rnacentral:lncRNA from 1 species
CUUAGGCAUCAUGUACUGAUUUCUAAUUAAGCAAUGAGUUAGCCGGAAGACAGAAACUAAAGUAUGAGACGCUCUUUGAAUCAUGCCUAUGACUAGGGUCGUCCUGCCAGGCUGCCACUAGAUGUGGGUGAGCAUCGUAUCUCUAGUCUUUACACCUUUACCAACCUCAUUCAUCAUAAGAUAAUCCUCAUGCGAUUGCAGUCAUAUCAAAGGCAUGUCAGCCUAUGACACAGAUAAAAGGCUUCAUAAUAAAAGGCGAAGAUAGAAAAUCAAAACUGGCUAGAACAGAGUAUUGCAUGUGCUGGAAUUGAAGAAGCUUGCAUCCACACAAGCCGAUAAAUGCAAUGCAGUGGACCAGCUGCACUUCAUGGCAACAAUACCCAUCAUAAAAACACACCCGUUGCAAGCCUCUCAUUUCCAAUUACUCUAGUGAUGUGGAACAUAGAUCAUGGAGAACGUCCAAAUAUGUAUUUGAAAAGUAGAUAAAUUAGUUACAUAGGAAUGAAAGACAUCGGGAAUCAUUUUAUUGUUGGAAAUUACAGAUGCGCGACUAGUUUGGACCCAUAAACCUGGGCAACAUAUCCAUACUUGCCAGCCUGAUAUAAGCGUUGCAUCAAAUUGAUACCAUCGGAUUUCAAAAUGCUAGCAGUGUCCCUGGCAUCCACCUUCAUCUUGAGCACCAAAGGUUUGUCUGGAUGCAGCUAUACCCAUGAAUGCUGACGUAAGUUGCUUGUGGUGUGAUCAUGGUACAGGAAAACCCCUAUAGGUAACAGAGAUGGAGGAGUUUUCCUUUUCUUUUCUCUUUUCCUUAAAAGAGAGGAGUAGGUCCUAGUACUUGUCAUGAUCGGUACUAACUAACUAGUAUAUAUUUGUACCGUCGAUCGUGUUAUGACUACUAUGUGCUGGGAAGCUAUCUACCUAGGAUGAUAAGAAUUAGUUGGUGCAUAUUCAGUCAUGAUUGAUAACAAUUUGCUAGUGGUUAACGUAUGAUGAUGCUGAUGAUGAUGAUGAUGAGACAUUUGUUAUAUCACUAUGAUGAUCAUGAUGAGACAUUGUUAUAUCACUACGGUAUGAUGAGAUAUUGUUGUAUCAUAUACUUAGAAUGAUGUAUGUAUAUGUUGGACUGCAUGAAAACCUAU